CGCUGGCGGCAUGCUUUACACAUGCAAGUCGAACGGCAGCGCGGGGCAACCUGGCGGCGAGUGGCGAACGGGUGAGUAAUAUAUCGGAACGUACCCAAGAGUGGGGGAUAACGUAGCGAAAGUUACGCUAAUACCGCAUACGAUCUAAGGAUGAAAGCAGGGGACCGCAAGGCCUUGUGCUCCUGGAGCGGCCGAUAUCUGAUUAGCUAGUUGGUGAGGUAAAGGCUCACCAAGGCGACGAUCAGUAGCUGGUCUGAGAGGACGACCAGCCACACUGGAACUGAGACACGGUCCAGACUCCUACGGGAGGCAGCAGUGGGGAAUUUUGGACAAUGGGCGCAAGCCUGAUCCAGCAAUGCCGCGUGAGUGAAGAAGGCCUUCGGGUUGUAAAGCUCUUUUGUCAGGGAAGAAACGGUGCGGGCUAAUAUCCCGCGCUAAUGACGGUACCUGAAGAAUAAGCACCGGCUAACUACGUGCCAGCAGCCGCGGUAAUACGUAGGGUGCAGGCGUUAAUCGGAAUUACUGGGCGUAAAGCGUGCGCAGGCGGUUUUGUAAGUCUGUCGUGAAAUCCCCGGGCUCAACCUGGGAAU
rnacentral:rRNA from 1 species